rnacentral:rRNA from 1 species
UACGGAGGGAGCUAGCGUUGUUCGGAAUUACUGGGCGUAAAGCGCGCGUAGGCGGCUUUGUAAGUUAGAGGUGAAAGCCCGGAGCUCAACUCCGGAACUGCCUUUAAGACUGCAUCGCCUGAAUCCAGGAGAGGUGAGUGGAAUUCCGAGUGUAGAGGUGAAAUUCGUAGAUAUUCGGAAGAACACCAGUGGCGAAGGCGGCUCACUGGACUGGUAUUGACGCUGAGGUGCGAAAGCGUGGGGAGCAAACAGG